UGUGGCUGGGGGUGAAAGGCCAAUCAAACCGGGAGAUAGCUGGUUCUCCCCGAAAGCUAUUUAGGUAGCGCCUCGUGAACUCAUCUUCGGGGGUAGAGCACUGUUUCGGCUAGGGGGUCAUCCCGACUUACCAACCCGAUGCAAACUGCGAAUACCGAAGAAUGUUAUCACGGGAGACACACGGCGGGUGCUAACGUCCGUCGUGAAGAGGGAAACAACCCAGACCGCCAGCUAAGGUCCCAAAGUCACAGUUAAGUGGGAAACGAUGUGGGAAGGCUCAGACAGCCAGGAUGUUGGCUUAGAAGCAGCCAUCAUUUAAAGAAAGCGUAAUAGCUCACUGGUCGAGUCGGCCUGCGCGGAAGAUGUAACGGGGCUAAACUGUGCACCGAAGCUGCGGCAGCGACGCUUAUGCGUUGUUGGGUAGGGGAGCGUUCUGUAAGCCUGCGAAGGUGUCCUGUGAGGGAUGCUGGAGGUAUCAGAAGUGCGAAUGCUGACAUAAGUAACGAUAAUGCGGGUGAAAAGCCCGCUCGCCGGAAGACCAAGGGUUCCUGUCCAACGUUAAUCGGGGCAGGGUGAGUCGACCCCUAAGGCGAGGCCGAAAGGCGUAGUCGAUGGGAAACGGGUUAAUAUUCCCGUACUUGGUGUUACUGCGAAGGGGGGACGGAGAAGGCUAUGUUGGCCGGGCGACGGUUGUCCCGGUUUAAGCGUGUAGGCUGGUUUUCCAGGCAAAUCCGGAAAAUCAAGGCUGAGGCGUGAUGACGAGGCACUACGGUGCUGAAGCAACAAAUGCCCUGCUUCCAGGAAAAGCCUCUAAGCAUCAGGUAACAUCAAAUCGUACCCCAAACCGACACAGGUGGUCAGGU
rnacentral:rRNA from 1 species